rnacentral:rRNA from 1 species
UACGGGGGGGGCAAGCGUUGUUCGGAAUUACUGGGCGUAAAGGGCUCGUAGGCGGCCAACUAAGUCAGACGUGAAAUCCCUCGGCUUAACCGGGGAACUGCGUCUGAUACUGGAUGGCUUGGGUUCGGGAGAGGGAUGCGGAAUUCCAGGUGUAGCGGUGAAAUGCGUAGAUAUCUGGAGGAACACCGGUGGCGAAGGCGGCAUCCUGGACCGAUACUGACGCUGAGGAGCGAAAGCCAGGGGAGCAAACGGG